GGAGAUCAGCUCGGAGCACAGCUGGGCCCAUGAGGCUAGCUUAUAUAUUCAACCUGUGGCCUAACACAAACUAUCUCAACAUAAAGGAGCCUCUGUCGGUUGUCAAUUGAUCAAGCUUCUCAUGUCAGGUACGAUGGUUGUGUCUCUGCUAAGUUUCUUUCUCGUCCAUUUUUUCAGCGAUUAUUUGUUCCGUUGGUUCAGUUAUAUAUUAUUAGGCUAUGCACCUCUUCAUUCUUACUCCCACUAUAAAGAAAUAUAAGAGCAUUUAUAACUAAAGUAGCGAUCUAAACACUCUUAUAUUUCAUUACGGAGGGAGUACAAACAACAAGACGACCAUGAGCUUCGGCUAUGCACAUCUUAUUUCUUACAAAUAACAUGAAGACCAUGAUCUAAUCAUUCUUUCCAAUUAAAGCCUUGGAGUUGGUAGAGACUCAACAAGUACUGAUCUUGAAACUGUGCUCGCUUACAGGUCACUCUUUUUACCUUCAAAAAUGAUGGCAUACGCUAUGCUCCAUGCGAUUACCAAUGGAAAGGAAUCCUGGAAAGUGAAGGUCGGAGUAAUUAGGCUAUGGGAUGCAUUAACCUCAUCAACAAUGAACUUAUUAGCCUUGGCAUGAUACUAAUUGACGAAAAUGUCAGCUCAUUGGUAAAAGAAUAUGGGGUUCCAACAUAAAUAGGCCACUAUGAGUUAUAUAUCGAUGCAUCUCCUCACUAUUAACAAGUUUAGGCCACUGGUCCAAGAAUGAUGAUCACAAGAUGGCUUUGAUGUUAUAAUAUAAUUAGUUUACUGCAGUCUUGGCAAAUUGAUUUUUGUUGAUACAUAUGGUGGAACAGGAAAGAAGUUUCUGUGGAAAGCAUUUAUGAAAAAAAUUAAGGUCCGAAGGGAAGAUACUUCUAGCAGUAACUUCAAGUGGUAUAGCAGCACCUCUUUUACAAGGUGGAAGCACAGCUCAUUCAAGAUUCCACAUUUCACUGAAGAUCACUAAUGAGUACACAUGCGGCAUCAAGCUAGGAACAUUUCUUGCGGAGCUAAUAACGAGAACUUCGUUGAUUACACACAAGCAUUGACAAGAGUUUGAGACAUACUUUGAUUCACAAAUGAGGAUGCCGAGCAGAGAACAUUUGGAGGAAUGACUAUAGUCUUGGUAGGUGACUUCAGACAAAUCCUACCGGCUAUACCAAUGGGGAAAAGGGAACAUAUUUGUUUCCGCAUAUAUAAAGAGAUCCUACCUAUUGAAGAACUUUCAGGAGUACCGACUCACAAAAAAUAUGUGUCUGAAUUCAGUUGAAGGUAGUCCAAUAAAGAAAGAAAAGACGACGAAAUUUCCAAGCUGGAUGCAAAACAUCAGCAAUGGUGCAGCAACAACAACAAAUGAAGAAGAUUGGAUUAGCAUCCCCAGAAGACCUUAUUUUACAUGAAGGAGAUAACCCCAUAACAUCCAUUGUUAAUAGCAUCUAAUUCCCUGACUUACAAAGCUGGUACACUCAUAGAACAUACCUAGAAGAAAGAGCGAUCAUGUUCCCAAGAAACGAGAUUGUCGACGAGAUUAACACCCAUAUCAUGAGUCAACUUCCUGGAGAAGAGGUAACAUAUCUUAGUUCAGAUACAACAUGCAAACAAAUGUCUACAGUGGAAGAUGAAUAUAUGUUGUACCCAGCUGAGUUUCUAAAUAGUCUUAAAUUAUCUUGAAUACCAGAGGCUGAAGUUGGAUCUUCCAGUAAUGCUUAUGAUAAAAAUCAACCAAAGUGCGGGACUUUGCAAUGGGACAAGACUAACAAUAACACAGUUAGGAAGGCAGUUCAUUGAAGGCCAGGUAAUAAACGACCUAACAUUGCUGAGAGAAUACCCAAUAUCAGUGUGAUUUUGCUAUGACUAUGAACAGAAGCAAGGGGCAAUCUCUCAAAAAGGUUGGGCUGUACUUAUAAAAAUGUUCACACAUGGCCAACUAUAUGUUGCAUAUACUCACAGCGGUUGAAGAGCGUCCAUUCGGCAGCGUGGCAAAAAACAUUAUUUACAAGAAUGUAUUAUAGAUAUUUGAUUUGUUGCCGCUAUGAUUAGAACAAGCAGAAUCAUUCUUAUUUGUCUAAAUAUAAUGCGGACAUAGCUGCCUUUUCUGUUUAAAACUAUUGUCUCUGCAAUAUUAUAUUUGUGAACAAGGUACUUCUAUCUGCAUCUACAUCUAAACAAAAAUAUUGGUUUAAGGGCUCACAACUGAUUUGAGAAAGCCAAGAUGCUUAUGUAUGCAUCGCCAUGUGUAGUUCAGACGAGGAGACGGACCCACUAAAGAUUACUUUAAACCAAGUCGUAAAGGUACAUAAGCAUAGACGAAGAAAGAUCCUUUUCUCACUUCAUGUAUCUCUUCUUUCUUAGAUAGAUCCAGCAAUUCAGAUCCAGUUUCCCAAAUAAUACGUGAUUCCCAAAUAAAUUAAUGAAACAACUAAUUCGGAGCCGUGCUAUGCCAGCCCGCAGAACAGCACUAACCGUGCAAGCUAGCUCUAGGACACCUUCCAUCUGCCGCUGGACGAGGAAACUCCGCUCGACGAUGCGAGCGUGGGAGUACAAUGCAGCUUCGACGGAGACGUCGUACCACACCACAAAGGGGAACGGCCGGAUGACCAGCGCCCCGACCGCCACUACAAUAGGAUUUGCGAGGGCACAUAUGCGGGCGUUAUCCAGGAGAGCCGCCGGCGUAACCGCUCUCAUGGCGCCGCUCAGACGGAGCGCAGUAGACUAGAGGCACCGUUAAACGACGCCGCCAAACACGCCGACGAUUCGUGACAAAAUUAAUCAUCACAAAUAAAAAUACGCACAUCUCAAUAGCCACGCGUCUCCGUCUGACUGAGUACAGAAAAUUAGAAAAUACAGUUGUUACCUAACUAAAUUUUGUUUCAUAUUAACAUAAUAUACGUAUAAAAUUAUAUGAGGUGCAAUAAAAUUAACUACCACAA
rnacentral:lncRNA from 1 species